rnacentral:lncRNA from 1 species
AUAUUGAAGCCAGAUGAUAAAAUAGUAUUUUACAUAUAAUCUUUAAAAUGUAGGCCUUAAAAAUACUGUAUCUUUCAGCUUAUUGGCUGAUGCCACCCUCAAAAUAACAGCAAUUGCCAGCUGAAUUCAUUCUAUGAAACUCUAGGUCAUUCAAAAUUGAUGUUAACAUUGUGUUAAGCUUUUACUCACAAUUUUCAGUUUGCUUAAGAAACUUCACUAGAAAAUAAGCUGAAUCACUAAUCUCCAUCUUCUGCCCAUUUUGUGUUGAUUGUAGGUCAAAGGUUUUAUAUAAUGUAAUCCAUUCUUUGCCCAGUAACUCACUUUAAUGAUGUUACACUACUGUUGUAUAUUUCCCUAAGGUACUUAAUUAUUUCUAGUUGGCAUUUUUGCUGGUUUCAUUUGUAUUCUUUUAUAACUGAACAUGGUUCAACAGGGAAUUGGAUAGGCUUUACUUAGUUGGCUUUCUUGUACUGAAUGAACAGUAUAC